GCCCCUGUGAGGAUGCCCUACAGUUCCCUGCUUGGGAACAAGGAGCUGGUAUCAGGCACGAAUUCCAUUCGGCCCAUAACACCUUGCUUAGCCACACCCCCAAGGGACUUCAGCAGUAAUAAACAUUAAGCCAUGAGUGAAAACUCGACUUAGUCAAGGCUAAGAGGGCCGGUAAAUUUCGUGCCAGCCACCGCGGUUAUACGAAAGACCCGAGUUGAUAGACGACGGCGUAAAGAGUGGUUAAGACAAACUUAUACAAGUAAAGCCGAACCCCCUCAGGACUGUUAUACGUGUCCGAAAGGGAGAAGUUCAACCACGAAGGUAGCUUUAUAAUACCUGAACCCACGAAAGCUACGAAACAAACUGGGAUUAGAUACCCCACUAUGCGUAGCCCUAAACAUUGAUAUUAGGACACAUAUAUUAUCCGCCUGGUUAUUAUGAGCAUUAGCUUCAAACCCAAAGGACCUGGCGGUGCUUUAGUUCCACCUAGAGGAGCCUGUUCUGUAACCGAUACCCCCCGUUUUACCUUACCCUUCCUUGUCCUUUCAGUUUAUAUACCGCCGUCGUCAGCUUACCCUGUGAAGGACUAGUAGUGAGCGAAAUAGGCAGAGCCCAGAACGUCAGGUCAAGGUGUAGCAUAUGGAAGGGACGGAUAUGGGCUACAUUCCCUGAGAACAGAGAAUACGAAUGAUACACUGAAAUGUGUACCUGAAGGAGGAUUUAGCAGUAAGCAGAAAAUAGAGUGUUCCGCUGAAAUCGGCUCUGAAGUGCGCACACACCGCCCGUCACUCUCCUCUAUAACACUUUUAGGCCUUACUUAACUAAAACCACACUACCGUUAAGGGGAGGCAAGUCGUAACAUGGUAAGUGUACCGGAAGGUGUGCUUGGAGAAAAA
rnacentral:ncRNA from 1 species